UUGGGUCCUCGCAGAGUGAAGAUCGCACGAGACUAAGGCUUUAUGGAGUUAAAACAAGACGACUUGGAGAAAGAUCCAGUAAAAUAGGUUGGGUCACGUUUCCCUCUGAAAGUUAAAAAUCAGGACGAACGAGGGCCGACGGAUGUAGGAGACAUAGAAAAAGACGUUCAUCCACUCUCGACAAAGGGUAGGCUUGCCAAACGAGAUACCUCUCACCCCCGUUUCAAUCAUCUUCCCUACUGUGGUGUCUCGACCUCCCAGAAGUUUUGCGAGGAACGAACGUAUAAACGCAACACGCACGAGUACACGUACACGUGUAGAACAUGUAGGAGUACCACAGGUUGGUAGUACGCGUCGCGGCCAACGAGUGUACACGCGUACGAAGGACUCGCCGCCAGCUCUAAUGAACGCUGAAAAUUAGCCGCUAUCUAUUCAUCUGUGCCUUCGUUGGUUCUCCGACUCGCCACAGCUUGGUUCGACUCGGCUAGGGUAAGGAACUCGAAAGAGGAAAAUGGAAAAGCGAGAAUCGAACGUCUCUGCGAAUGUUCACGAACGGAAGAAUUAUCGGAGUAGGCAAAAAAAGGGAAAGGAAAGAAAAAAGAAAAAGAAGGGAACGUGGCGUAGCUUUCAGGGACGAAGAAGAACGAUCUGGAGAAUAUUCUUAGAGCACGUAGGCAAAUAUAACGUAUAAAUAUAACGAAGGAUUAAGAACGCUCGAGUUUUUAGCUGUAGCUUCCUACGAUCUCUCUCGUUUUCUUUGUCGAGUGCUCGUCGACGAUUCAAACGAACGAUCCGGAUUCGGAAAGGAGAAGAGAGCGGUAGAAAUAGCGAACGGGUCAUCAACGCGACGGGUGAGCGGAGGCGGAGAGGCGGAACGCAUCGGUGGACAGUGAGCGUAGUAAAUUAAAACGUACGACCAUAUUACCCUCAAGACUCAUACCUCAAGCUUUACAGCUCGUUGCUCGAAGAUGACGGUUUAAAACGGAGGAGAGAUAUCUUGCGAUAUCUCAUGAAUCAUUUAACUAAGGAAGAGAGAGAGAGAGAG